rnacentral:misc_RNA from 1 species
GUGAAUCAUCGAAUUUUUGAACGCAAAUUGCACUCUCCGCGGAGAGUAGGCCUGUUUGAGGGUCAGCCUAUAAAAAAUCGACAUCGCGGCUGGGUCGCGGAGGCGGUCGUCGGAAAUGGGGUCAUCUUAAAUACUUUUGAUUUAAGGGACUUAAAAUUUGCCUUUGGUUCCAUGAACGUUGCUGAGAUCUAUUUCUUUACACGUGUAAGGUAUCGAUGUUAACUAGACGUUAGCAUCAUAUCGGAUCGCG